rnacentral:rRNA from 1 species
UACAGAGGUGCCAAGCGUUAGGCGGAAUCACUGGGCUUAAAGCGCGUGUAGGUGGGUCGUUAAGUGUCCGCGUGAAAUACCACGGCUCAACCGUGGAACUGCCUUAGAUACUGUCGGCCUCGAGGGAGGUAGGGGCGUGCGGAACUGUAGGUGGAGCGGUGAAAUGCGUUGAUAUCUACAGGAACUCCGGUGGCGAAAGCGGCGCGCUGGACCUCUUCUGACGCUGAGGCGCGAAAGCUAGGGGAGCAAACGGG